rnacentral:rRNA from 1 species
GACGAACGCUGGCGGCGUGCUUAACACAUGCAAGUCGAACGGAAAGGCCCUGCUUUUGUGGGGUGCUCGAGUGGCGAACGGGUGAGUAACACGUGAGUAACCUGCCCUUGACUUUGGGAUAACUUCAGGAAACUGGGGCUAAUACCGGAUAGGAGCUCCUGCUGCAUGGUGGGGGUUGGAAAGUUUGGGCGGUUGGGGAUGGACUCGCGGCUUAUCAGCUUGUUGGUGGGGUAGUGGCUUACCAAGGCUUUGACGGGUAGCCGGCCUGAGAGGGUGACCAGCCACAUUGGGACUGAGAUACGGCCCAGACUCCUACAGGAGGCAGCAGUGGGGGAUAUUGCACAAUGGGCGGAAGCCUAAUGCAGCAACGCCGCGUGCGGGAUGACGGCCUUCGGGUUGUAAACCGCUUUCGCCUGUGACGAAGCGUGAGUGACGGUAAUGGAUAAAGAAGCACCGGCUAACUACGUG